CAGCCGCCACGGUAAUACGGAGGGGGCUAGCGUUGUUCGGAAUUACUGGGCGUAAAGCGCACGUAGGCGGCUUGGUAAGUUAGAGGUGAAAGCCUGGAGCUCAACUCCAGAAUUGCCUUUAGGACUGCCGAGCUAGCAGGUGAGAGAGGUAAGUGGAAUUCCGAGUGUAGAGGUGAAAUUCGUAGAUAUUCGGAAGAACACCGGUGGCGAAGGCGGCGACCUGGUCCGAUACUGACGCUGAGGCGCGAAAGCGUGGGGAGCAAACAGGAUUAGAGACCCCUGUAGUCCCUGUCUCUUAUAU
rnacentral:rRNA from 1 species